rnacentral:lncRNA from 12 species
CGUGUGGAAGUUAGGUAUCUGGGCUUCUACUUGGGGCAUGGACAGGUGCGUCCCCAAAUUGACAAGACAGCAGCAGUUGCGACCUGUCUGCGCCCCAAGACCAAAAAGGAGGUGAGACAGUUCCUGGGGCUGGUGGGAUAUUACAGAAAGUUUGUACCUAAUUAUUCGGACCUCACCAGCCCCUUGACUGAUCUUACUAAAAAGGAGGCGCCAGAUACGGUCCAGUGGACGGAGCCGUGUCAGCAGGCUUUUACCCAGGUGAAGGCUGCUCUAUGUGGCGGGCCGUUGUUACACUCUCCUGAUUUUUCUCUCCCCUUUGUGUUGCAGACAGACACAUCGGACAGGGGGGUGGGUGCAGUCCUGUCCCAGGAGAUAGAGGGGGAGGAACGGCCGGUGCUGUACAUUAGUCUUAAGCUCUCUAAGAGAGAGACUAAGUACAUCACCUUUGAAAAAGAAUGUCUUGCCAUCAGGUGGGCCAUCCUCACCCUCCGCUAUUAUCUCCUGGGAUGGGAAUUCACCCUCUGUUUGGACCACGCCCCUCUGCAGUGGCUCCACCGGAUGAAGAAUGCCAACGGGCGGAUCACUCGUUGGUAUCUAGCUUUACAGCCUUUUAAGUUCAAGGUGGUCCACAAGCCGGGUGUUCAGAUGGCUGUGGCCGAUUUCCUCUCCAGAAUUGGGGGGGUUCUGCAGGCCGGAUGGCUCCCUGGCCUGAGUCGGGCGGUGGGGGUAUGUGGCAAGGGGGGUGUGGUUCAGCGAAGUCUGCAGUGGGAGAGAGAGUCUGGAGACGAAUGGUGAGUGAGUGGGUUAAACGCAAAUAACCAACACCUGUGGCUUGUUUCAGUAAUUGGCGUGGAGAGACUAUAUAACGGCAGGAGAAACAGGAGUGUGGGGGAAAGAGAAGGACUGCUGACUGGUGGAACCUGACUGAGCUGGAAUCCUUGCUGGAGUGAAAGUUAUUAUACAACCGUGUUUAUGUUUCUGUGCUGUCUGCACAACGAUGUUUUGAGAGUGAAUUGAUGAUAAUAAAAGCCACCGUCAGCAGUUAAGCCGACCCUGUCCUCUUCCUUCCUCAACAAGAA